UAUUUAGCCCAUGUGGCCAAAAGGUUGCACAGGAUAUAUAUAUAUAUAUAUAUAUAUAUAUAUAUAUAUAUAUAUAUAUAUAUAUAUAUAUCCUGUGCAACCUUUUGGCCACAUGGGCUAAAUA